CAUUUGUCCAUUCUUUUGUGGAACUUUCUAUUUCCUUGGAAUCCUCCACAUUUGUCCAUUCUUUUGUGGAACUUCCUAUUUCCAUUUUCUUAAGCCACAUUUUUGGAAAUUUUGUCACAGGAAAUUUUACUUGUUGGCUCCGUGUCUCCACUCUUGUAGCAACAGAAGUUGUUACUGAUACUGAGCUUUCUUACUUCAACCCUGCUUUAUUAUCUAUCUAAGCAGCAGACAGACAGGAAAAAGUGUCAUUCUUCUAAAACAGACAAAUAAGAACCACACAGGUGGAAGAGAGGAUAAGAAGGCUGAAAAUAAGCUAAAUAUGAUCAGUGUAACGUGAACCUAAUGGAAAAGCCAACAUUUUGAAAUACCAGUCUAAUCUUGCCCAUUUUCCCUGUCCUGUUCCAAUGCAACAGGUGAUCAAGAACCACAUCUUCAAACUCUUCCAGAACAAGUUGGAAGAUAAACUCAGAAAGUUUAUCAAUUUAUCAAGAUGAAAUUUUUUUUAAAUUUUAGAAUGAACUCCAACAUGCAAGGAACUUGAAAGUCAUCACACCAUCCUCACAAAAAAAAGACAAAAUCACAAAAUCAUUAACUUUUUUCAUAGAUCCAUCUGAGAACCGAGGUCACAGGGCAAGAAUCCAUCAGAAUUUGGAGAGACAGGCAAAUACAAAGAGAACCAAGAUCAGAGUCCUUAAAGCAGAAGCCACUGGAGCCAGGAACUGGUGAGCAAGAUCAUUAUUUCACACUCUCAGAAAGAAGACUGGUUUCUGCCAAUCUUUCCUCUGAGCUGAAUCCAAGUCAGCACCUGAAGGAUGAUUUGUGGCUCCAGGCCACUCAGCAACAUGUUGUGGAUCAUAAAGAAAAAUCUGUACCUGUUUUGCCCAGUUCUGUAGUUCUUCUUCAAGCUCUUAGUACAAAAAUAUACUAUGUCUUGGUAGCACAAACUGACUAAUUCAUUCCUUGUGAAGGUCUGAAGAUGUGCAUAUGGCAAAAGACCUCCACCUUCUAUACACUGUAAAUUAAUAGUUAGCAAACUUGAUUAACUGUCAUUCACAUGGUGUCAUGCAAUGAUUGUUGGUCUUUUCUUUAAAAGUGCCUCUUAUUCUAAUUCCUAAAAUACAUCAAUGUGAACAUCACCUAGGGCCAGAAAUUCUAUGUGAUUAAGUAAUUGGUCUCAUGAUAACAGACCACAGAUAUUCUGUCAACCACAACUGAGCCUAACAUAAACUAAUACAUGUACAUAAACACGAUUUUUAACUUCUAUCUGGAAAAAGUAAAAAUGACAGAAGCUACUUAUAUCACAAAACAAAUGCUGUUUUAUAUAAUACAUUUCAAGCUAUCAGAAAUCACUGAGGAAAGGACAAAAAAACAUUUUUAAAAAUUGGGAAAUGUUGUGGGCAGACCAAAGAAUAAGAAAUACAACUGGUUUUAAAACAUAUAAAAGGAUGCCCACACUCAAAUUAAAAGGGAAAUGUAUAUUACUCUUAUACAUAAAAAAACAGAUAAUUUCACAUUGCAAAAUGGAAAUGAGGCACAGUCACGGACUGUUUUGGAGGAUUUAGACUGACAUAGAUCACUUAACCUAGAACACUUUUGAGAGUGAAACAGACACUAUUUAAAUCAAUAUUCAUAAUCUACAGUUCUGGGUAACUGCAGUCAUGCAAUUUAUGGAAUUGUAACACUUUCACCAUGCUAUAGUCGUGUGUCUGUCUUUCUAAAUGGGCAGGAAACACAUUGGUGGAAAGUAUCAUAAAAGUUUUUCCAUGAAAGUAUCAUGUAAUUUUUUCCUAAAUGUUUAGUACUUUGCAUAGAAUAUAUGCUUAAAUAUUUUUAAAUGAAUUAAAAUGGCUUAAUUAAUUCACUAGUGCCUAAAGGGACUGAGGCAUGGAGCAUAUCAAACUCACCAACUAUACUAGGAGAAGCCAAUGAUGAGAAGUGCCUAGACAAGAGGUGGAGUAGAGAUUACGAUACACAAAAUUUUCUGUCUUUGAGGCACCUCACAAAUUGAGGGAGAGAAAAGAACGUAAUUUUCUCAGGUUGAACUUCAGCUGUAGAUGUAUAGAAAAGAAAGGGCCAAUCUACAUAGUUCAAUAAGUUAAGUGUAGGUGUCUGGAAAUGUUCAAAACCUGAACAUCACAUAGUUGAGACUCAUCCUCUCAAAUUUGGAAUAAAUUUGCAACUUGGAAUAAACCAGUGUGGUAGGCAGAAUAAUGACUUCCCUGACCAUGUUUGUAUUCCUAAUCCUUGGAAGUUUGAAUAUUUAUAUUACUUGGGAAAAGAGAAUUAAAGUUGAGGGUGGAAUUAAGUUUCCUAAUCAGUUUACCUAAAAUAGGGAGAUUAUCCUGGAAUACCUGGAUGGUUUCAGUAUAAUCACAAGGGUCCCUAAAAGAUGAAAGAGAAAGACAGAAGAAUCACUGUCCAAGUGGUUAAUAUGAGAAAGACUAGAGCAGCCACUGUUGGCUUUGAUGAUGGGAAGGAGUCACAAGCCAAUGAAGGCCCUUUCUAGAAACUGGAAAAGGCAAGAAAACAUUCUGCCUUAGGCCCUCCAAUGAGGAAUGCAGCCACGUCAACACUUUGAUUUUAGCCCAGUGAGACCCAUUUCAGACUUCUGACCUACAGAAAUCGAAAAUCAAAAAAGAAACAUGGUGCCUUUCCUCAGUCAAAUGUCUUAAUGCAAAACGAGUACGAGCCUCUAGAUCUCCAGAGAGCAGUCUAAGGGCCCAGGUGGGUAGGAAGCUGGGUGCCAGCCACAAGAAACACAGAGAUUCUGUCCCACUUUCCAGCUGGACCUUGGUGUGUGUCUGGGAAGACCUUCUCUUACUCUGGCAAUGACACAGGUCCCUCAGGUCAUUGACAUUAAGUAUAAGGGAAGAACAGAUCAGGUGUAUGGAACAAAUAAUCAGGAAACUUGACCCCAUGCUCUCCUACACCAUUUCUGCUGCAGCUUUUGUCACAUCUCUGUCUGGAAUGAAACCUCUCCUGCUCUCUCUCCACUCCAUGUAGAACAGCUUUUAAUUUCUUAGCUGAGACCUUAGCUACCUCUUCCACGUUGCUUUUUUGAACCCUCACAGGAAGGAUUGACAACCUGUUCUUUUUAGGUCCCCUCCGAAAGUGGUAGAUUUCUCACAUAGUAUCAAUAACAAGCUGCUGCUCUUACAUGGUAAACACAAAUCUCAUUUUCUCAAUGAUGUGUGCAAGAGAUGUCAAGCUCUUUAUCUUCUGUCAAUUUGUCAUUUUAAAUAAAUCCAUUUGUUUUGUUAUGCACAGUUCCAGAAUUUCUACCUUUUAAACAAUUCUGUUAUGUCUAUGUCUUUGUAUUGCUAAAACUGUAUGUCUAAAACUGAGUCUGAUAUUAUCUGGAUUCCUAUGGAUCUGUUUUUAUUGUCUGUAUUUCCUUUGGAUCUUAUCAUGUGGUGUUUAUCAUGUGGUGUUAGCUCCUUGUGUGUCUGGGAAUACUUUUAAUUUCUCUUUGAGUGUCUGACAUUGUACUUGAAAAGUUAGAAAAAAAUUGAGACUUCCUCUUUACUUUCAUUCUGAUAAAUUACUGAAUAGCCUUAAUCCUAUUAUAAGGAUUGAGAGUAAAUUGAAUGUGAUUCUCAGUACUUUCAACAGUCAGUUUCAUUAUAGGUCAAAUUUAUUCAUACAGUUUAACCCCUCGGAGUUCCAAACCAAACACUGAGGGUGUCUAGCAGGACUGCACCUUCUUUACAAAAUACGGAUUUUAAGUUUUGUCUUUCUACACCCAUGAGUAAUGCAGAAAGAUCUGCUCAGCUUCCCAAUCUCUCAGAAUGAGCUCAGAAUGAGCAGACACCUUUAGAGAAAAAACAGCAAAUUCUAGAGUUUACUACUGGUUUUCUUCUUUGCCUGGACAUUGGCUCUACAAUUUGUCAACAAUAUGUUGAAGCCUUCAGGUGGAUUUUACAACUAUUAUGGAGUGGGUGUGGGGGGCGAGUGAGGGGGCUAAAAAGACACAGAAAUCUCAUAAGCUGGCCACAGAAAUGGAAGUGCAGCAUGGAGGAUAUAGUCGAUGGUUCUGUAACAUCUUUCUAUGUUGACAGAUAGUAACUAUACUAGUUGGGGGUUUAAUAAUGUGUGUAACUGGCAAAUAACUGUAUUGUAUAGUUAAAACCAGUAUGGAAUUGUGUAUCAACUACACUUCAAUUAGAAAAUAAAUUAAAGAUAAAUAAAAAUAAAAAAAUACAAAAAUGAAAUCCUAAUAGCCAAUA